rnacentral:rRNA from 1 species
UACGGAGGGUGCAAGCGUUAUCCGGAUUCACUGGGUUUAAAGGGUGCGUAGGAGGGCAGGUAAGUCAGUGGUGAAAUCCCCGAGCUUAACUUGGGAACUGCCGUUGAUACUAUCUGUCUUGAAUAUUGUGGAGGUGAGCGGAAUAUGUCAUGUAGCGGUGAAAUGCUUAGAUAUGACAUAGAACACCAAUUGCGAAGGCAGCUCACUACACAAUCAUUGACGCUGAGGCACGAAAGCGUGGGGAUCAAACAGG